rnacentral:rRNA from 1 species
GACGAACGCUGGCGGCGUGCUUAACACAUGCAAGUCGAACGGAAAGGCCCUGCUUUUGUGGGGUGCUCGAGUGGCGAACGGGUGAGUAACACGUGAGUAACCUGCCCUUGACUUUGGGAUAACUUCAGGAAACUGGGGCUAAUACCGGAUAGGAGCUCCUGCUGCAUGGUGGGGGUUGGAAAGUUUCGGCGGUUGGGGAUGGACUCGCGGCUUAUCAGCUUGUUGGUGGGGUAGUGGCUUACCAAGGCUUUGACGGGUAGCCGGCCUGAGAGGGUGACCGGCCACAUUUGGGACUGAGAUACGGCCCAGACUCCUACGGGAGGCAGCAGUGGGGAAUAUUGCACAAUGGGCGGAAGCCUGAUGCAGCAACGCCGCGUGCGGGAUGACGGCCUUCGGGUUGUAAACCGCUUUCGCCUGUGACGAAGCGUGAGUGACGGUAAUGGGUAAAGAAGCACCGGCUAACUACGUG